rnacentral:misc_RNA from 1 species
CUGAUAUUCUCUUUGUAAGGAUGGGAAGAGUACUACUCUUUCUUAUCCACUGGAGAAAUUCCACUCAGAUGUGGCAGGGAGAAGUUUUCACAAUGGUCGUUUCAUACAAAGGAUGCGUGAAAAAGCUGCAUCUCCUUCCAAUGUGAGAUUGGAACAAGGAACAGUAACCUCACUCAUUGAAGAAAAAGGGACUAUCAAAGGGGUGCAGUACAAAACUAAGACAGG